rnacentral:rRNA from 1 species
GACGAACGCUGGCGGCGUGCUUAACACAUGCAUGUCGAACGGAAAGGCCUGCUUUCCCUUGUGGAUUGCGGGUACUCGAGUGGCGAACGGGUGAGUAACACGUGAGUGAUCUGCCCCCAACUUGGGUAUAAGCCUGGGAAACUGGGUCUAAUUCCCGAUAGGACUGCAGGGUGGUGCCUGUGGUGGAAAACGAUUUUCUAGUGGUUGGGGUUGAGCUCGCGGCCUAUCAGCUUGUUGGUGGGGUAAUGGCCUACCAAGGCGGCGACGGGUAGCCGGCCUGAGAGGGUGGACGGCCACAUUGGGACUGAGAUACGGCCCAGACUCCUACGGGAGGCAGCAGUGGGGAAUAUUACACAAUGGGCGGAAGCCUGAUGCAGCGACGCCGCGUGGGGGAUGACGGCCUUCGGGUUGUAAACUCCUUUCGACCGCGAGGAAGCCACCUGGUUGGAAGGGUGGUGACGGUAGUGGUAGAAGAAGCACCGGCUAACUACGUG